AUGUGGGGAAUUCCCGGCCGGACAUUGGGAAUUCUUGGCCGGACAUCUGGAAUUCCCGACUGGACAUCCCGGAAUCCUGGUCAGAUGUUGGGAAUUCCUGGCCAGAUGUUGGGAAUUCCCGGCCGGACGUUGGGAAUUCCCAGCUGGACACAUCGGGGUCCCGGCCCGGCCGGAGCCUCCGGACAAUCAGGAGCCGCAGGGUCUCCACUGGGAUUGGGGUGGGAAAAGGGAUUUGGGGUUUUCCAGGGAAUGGACAGAGGAUAUUUGGGAAUUUGGGAUUUUCCAGAGAAUGGAGGGAGGGGAUUUGGGAAUUUGGGAUUUUCCUCAGGGAAUGGAGGGAGGAUGUUUGGGAAUUUGGGGUUUUUCAGGGAAUGGACAGUGGGGAUUUGGGAAUUUGGGAUUUUCCCCUGGAAUGGACGGAGGAUAUUUGGGAAUUUGGGAUUUUCCAGGGAAUGGAGGGAGGGGAUUUGGGAAUUUGGGAUUUUCCCUUGGAAUGGAGGGAGGGGAUUUGGGAAUUUGGGGUUUUCCAAGGAAUGGAGGGAGGAUAUUUGGGGAUUUGGGAUUUUCCAGGGAAUGGAGAGAGGAUCUUUGGGAAUUGUGGCUUUUCCCACGCUCUCACCAUCCUCCAGCGCUGCCUCGGCCACGCGGGCGCUUCCCGGGGAUUUGGGGAUUCCCGGGAUGGGGUCGGGGUCCCCCCGGCCGGCCCCCCUCGGCUCCUCCAGCAGCUCCUGCAGGGCUCGGGCCCUUCCCGAGGGCUCGGGGUCAGCGCCGGCUGAACAAUCCUCGGGCUCGGCGUCCUGGGCCAGCUCCGGGGACUCGGCGGGGUCCGGCAGCAGCAGGCUGGGAACGGAACGGGAACGGGAACGGGAAUGGGAAUGGGAUUGGGAAUGGGAACGGGAAUGGGAACGGGAAUGGGAACGGGAAUGGAAUGGGAAUGGGGACAGGAAUGGGGACAGGAAUGGGAACGGGAUUGGGAAUGGAACGGGAAUGGGAACGGGAAUGGGAACGGGAAUGGGAAUGGGAACGGGAAUGGGAACGGGAUUGGGAAUGGAACGGGAAUGGGAAUGGGAACGGGAAUGGGAACGGGAAUGGAAUGGGAACGGAUGGCACCAGGACAGGGACAGGGAGAGGCAGCCCCGAGUCCCCAUCCCAGGGACCCUCCGGGGACAGCGGGAACAUCCUGAGCUCCCCCCAUUCCCGACCCCAUUCCCAGUAUCCCGUUAUCCUCCCCAUCCCCGUUCCCACUGCCAUUAG
rnacentral:lncRNA from 1 species